rnacentral:SRP_RNA from 2 species
GUUCGAGCCCCGCGCGAUGCGAACCGCCAAACCCGGUCAGGCCCGGAAGGGAGCAGCCGUCAGGAGGACCUCGCAGGCGCCGCGGGUCCACUUGAACCGG